UACAGAGGGUGCAAGCGUUAUUCGGAAUUAUUGGGCGUAAAGAGCGCGUAGGCGGUUUGAUAAGUCUGAUGUGAAAUCCCUGGACUCAAUCCAGGAAGUGCAUUGGAUACUGUCAGGCUAGAGUACAGGAGAGGUAGGCGGAAUUCCAGGUGUAGAGGUGAAAUUCGUAGAUAUCUGGAGGAACAACAGUGGCGAAGGCGGCUUACUAGACUGUAACUGACGCUGAGGCGCGAAAGCGUGGGGAGCAAACAGG
rnacentral:rRNA from 1 species